rnacentral:rRNA from 1 species
CUAUGGGCCGCACCAGUGGGGAAUAUUGCACAAUGGAGGAAACUCUGAUGCAGCAACGCCGCGUGGAGGAUGACACUUUUCGGAGCGUAAACUCCUUUUAUAUAGGAAGAAGAUGACGGUACUAUAUGAAUAAGCGCCGGCUAACUCCGUGCCAGCAGCCGCGGUAAUACGGAGGGCGCAAGCGUUACUCGGAAUCACUGGGCGUAAAGAGCGUGUAGGCGGAUUAAAAAGUCAGAAGUGAAAUCCUAUAGCUUAACUAUAGAACUGCUUCUGAAACUCUUAAUCUAGAAAAUGGGAGAGGUAGAUGGAAUUUCUGGUGUAGGGGUAAAAUCCGUAGAGAUCAGAAGGAAUACCGAUUGCGAAGGCGAUCUACUAGAACAUUAUUGACGCUGAGACGCGAAAGCGUGGGGAGCAAACAGGAUUAGAUACCCUCGUAGUC